rnacentral:rRNA from 1 species
GACGUAGGGCGCGAGCGUUGUCCGGAUUUAUUGGGCGUAAAGAGCUCGUAGGCGGUCUGUCGCGUCGGAUGUGAAAGCCCGGGGCUUAACCCCGGGUCUGCAUUCGAUACGGGCAGACUAGAGUGUGGUAGGGGAGGAUCGGAAUUCCUGGUGUAGCGGUGAAAUGCGCAGAUAUCAGGAGGAACACCGAUGGCGAAGGCAGGUCUCUGGGCAUUAACUGACGCUGAGGAGCGAAAAGCAUGGGGAGC